AUGAUUCAUUGGAACUUAUGCCUCAAGUACCACCUCCCAGCAGUAAAGAACUGGUGGGAUCACAAACCUGCAAAAGUAUUGAAAAAUGAGCACACAAAGAUACUGUGGGUCAUUGAUGUUGCCAUCCCAGGUGACAGUCGCAUUGACGAAAAACAACAGGAAAAACUCAGCCGCUAUCAAGACCUCAAGAUUGAACUUCAAAGACUCUGGCAGAAACCAGUGCAGGUGGUCCCGGUGGUGAUGGGCACAUUGGGUGCUGUGCCAAAAGAUCUCAGCCGGCAUUUGGAAACAAUAGACAUUGACAAAAUUACGAUCUGCCAACUGCAAACUGGGAUCUGCGUGCAUCAUCUGAAAAUACAUCACACAGUCCUAGACACUUGGGAAGUGUUCGACUUGUGAUUUUGUGAUAUGAAAUUCAGCAUGUCUAUCUUGUUUGCUGUGUCAUACAAUAAAAGAAUAAUAAUAACAAUUAUUAUUAUUAUUAUUAUUAUUAUUAUUAUUAUUAUUAUUAUUAUUAUUAUUAUUAUUACCAAUAUGAGAAGGCAACAUUACUACCACUGAAGGAGAAGGAAAACAUUAAAUUUGCCAAGGGCCCCGGGGGCAACGCUUUUGGCACAUGUUCGGCUCCUUUGGCGUAAAUGCAGAAUUCUGUGUAUAUUUUGGCAGCCGUUCAAAGACCAGAUGGUCGCAUAUGAAAUGUUUUGCAAGGAGCUCGGCAAACCAAGGCUGGGUGCCUGAUCUCGGUUGUUUAGUAUUUAAUUGUGCUUUAAAUGACAUUGUUCUGGUUUUAGCUGAUUCUUUUUGUGUGUCGCCUCAGGUCCCAUUCUGGAAGAAAACUGACUGAUCAACUGAAUACAUAUAGAAAUAUAUGUAUUGGAAUUUAAAAAUAUAUUUUCAAACCCUGGAUACAGAAUCUGGGGAUACAGGAAAUCUUUAUUUCCAUGCUGAUAUUUAAGAUGCUGAACAUACUAGGGGGUAAAGUUCAACAUUGUAAACGGUUCAUGUAAAAUUUGGACUACGGGUGCAUUAUUAUAAUAUUUAUAUGCUGCUUUUCCUCUCUUAUUGAUGCAGUUUGAUCCCACUUUGAUGAGGCACCAGCAGUAUUUGGCAGAAAAGGCGAAAGUCCUUGUAAAACUACAAAUCCCACAAUUCUGUAGCAUUGAUACAUGAGGCUCAGGCAGAAGCAAACUGCUCUCCAAACCUCUUUGUUUUUUUUUCUCAUUCAUCACUUUUGACAUCUUAACCGGGCGCUGAUUUUGAUCUGUGAAAUAUUAGAGAAUGAUUUCAGAUUUUUUAGUAUUUUGGCAUUCAACACUUGGGCAACUCAGACAGAGAGCUUCGGACAGAAUUUUUUCUUUGAACUACAAUUUCCAUGCUGGAUAGAGCCCUUGGGAAUAUAAUGGCACUUGAGAAGUUUAUUUGAGUGCAUUGGUAUUGCCACAGCUCCAUGCUAUAAAAUGCUGGGAAUUGUAGUUUUACGAGGUCUUAAGUCUUCUUUGCACAAGAGUUUUGGAGCCUCACCAAAUUACAGUUCCCAGCAUUGAGCAACAGCAGUUUAAGUGGUGCCAACCUGCAGUAAUUCUACUUUGUAGGCACAGCCCCUGACACAUUGCUGUGUGCUCAGUUAAAGCACUGCCUUCCCAUGCGCUUUGUGCACUUGGAAAGGGACGACAUGCUUCUUUCUCCAAGAAGGGAAAAAAUAGCAAAUGGUGUAAACGUAGGGCACACUCUGUCUCUCCCGGAGCGGAGGGGCAGGCGGAGGCAUUGGAGCCGAAGACAGGAGGCAUGCGCAAGGGCCUGGUCGCCAAACAGAGGUGCAUGUGUGCAAAUGUGAGCUGGGACUCUCUGGGAACGUACAGUUCUUCUGGCACAGGCUGCCCUUGAGAAAUUCCCACAAGGCCCAGCCGAAGCACCCAAAAGGGACAAAGCCAAGGAAGCGAUGCCCUCUUCCUGCCGGGGUUCCGGUGCUUUGUUUUUCAUCAUGACCCGGCAGGAGGAAAUUCAACUGGUGAAGCUACAAAAGGAGACCCCUCUCCUUGUUGUAUAUGAAAGUCACACCUUGGCAGACAGGAGGAAAUUCAAUUAGAGAAGCUGUGAAAGGAAUCCCUUGUCUCAGUUUCAACUAGCUGCGCAUGGAUGUCAGAACUCAGCCAGCAAGCUUGGCUUUCCUUUGACAGGUGGGAAUUCAACUGGCGGAGUUAAGGAAGGAACUGUGCAUGGAGACACCACUUGGCACACAUAAGGAAAUUCAACUAGAGAAACUAUGGAAGGAAUCCCUUUUCAAAUUUCUACGGCUUGUACAUGGCAGUCACAAUUCAGCAAACAGGAGGAAAUUCAACUGGUGCCACUAGAGAAGGAAUCCCCUUCCCAAUUUCCAUGACCUUGGCAUGGAGACAGGAGGGAAUCCAACUGGGGAAGCUAUGGAAGGAACCUCUCUCUCCAACUCAGCAGGCAGGAGGUAAUACAACUGGGAACACCACAGAAGGAAUCUAUUUCUAAAUGUCUAUGUGCUGUGUGUAGAGGUCACAAUUGGGUAGACAGAAGGAAAUUCAACUGGGGAAGCUGCUAUUUCUACUGAACUCAUGGAGGUCACAAAUUAGCAGGCUUGGGUUCUCUUUGACAGGUGGAAAUUCAAUUGGUGAAGCCACAAAAGGAACCCACUUCCAAACUUCUACUGGUUGUACAUGGUCACAGUGCAGCAUACAGGAGGAAAUUCAACUGGAGAAGCUGCAAAAGGAACCUCUUUCCAUUUUUUAUGGUUGUUCAUGUGGAAGGAACGCUUUUCCAAAUUUCUUUACUGACUAUGCAUGGAGGGCACAGUCCACCAACCUUGGGUUCUCUCUGGAAGAAGAAAAUCCAACUGGUGAAGCUGUGGAAGGAAUAACACUAUGGUUCCACUGGUAUUAUGGAACCUGGGAAUUUCCAAAGCAGGAACUAAUAAAUAUUGUUUGUGUUAAUCAAAAGCACUAUUGAGAUAUGCCUUCAAGUCAAUGCCAAUUUAUCGCAACCUUAACUUAGAAUUUUCUGGGAAAAAUGUAUUCAGUGGGCAUUUGCCAUGAGGUUCUCAAAUCACCGAUGCUGAGCAGAGUCAGGUCUGCUUAGUGCUUGAAUGGGGGAUUGUCAAGUAAUGCUAUAAGGCUAUAAGCUAUAUUUCAGAAGAAGAAACUGGCAAAAUCACCCCUGAGUAUUACUUAUUUAAGAAAACUCAGAGAGCGUGGUGGAGUGGUUUAAGGUUGAGACUUGAAUUGCAAGAAAUCAGGAUCUGGAUUCUCGGUUCAACCAUGGAAACCUUGGGCAUGUCAUACUCUCUCAGCCUCAGAGGAAGGAAAAGGAAUGUCUCUUCUGAUAAAUCUAGCUGAGAAAACCCUGUUAGGGUUGCCGUGAACCAGAAAUGAUUUGCAGGUACACAACAACAACAACAACAACAACACUUAAUUAAAUGCAUAGGGGUCUCCAUAAAUCAACAGGUGAAGACACACAAACAGGCAAUGGAAAGAUAUAAAGUUCUUCCGCAAUGACCUGUUGCUUUGGUUUGUUUUUAAAGGACGAACACAUCAUUUUAGAUUCCCCAGCUUCUUAGUUGCGCCUUACACUCAGGAUUUUAUUUGUUGCAGACAGGAGUAAGUCAACACUAAGUUCCCACUUUGGCACAAAAGUUGUUUGUUCCUGAGAGAGAGCGAUAUUAUCUCUGUCUUCUGCUGCAUUUAAAGGGCAAUAGAAGUUCAAAGAAGACCAAACUGGGAGACAGUCACCCUGGGGCCGUCCCAAGUGGCAGAAUGGUGGGAGAUUGAGGACAGAUAAAAGGACAGGCGUCUUUGCUUCACCCAUAGCAGGCUUCUCUUCUGCUUUUUGUUAUCGCAGCAUCAGGAUCAUAAAAAGAUGCUUCUGUUUACCAGUGGAGAGCGGCAGAUUACAGUUGCACCAAACAUGCAUGCGAUCAACCCAGGCUGCCAUAUGAUGAAGUUUGAAUCUGCAUUUUAUGUUCAGUGUAGACCCAAAUAAUGCAGCUGAACUGCAGUGCAUUGACCAUAUAACACACAUUCAAAC
rnacentral:lncRNA from 1 species